GGAAGUGACGCGCGUAUCCGUGACUCCUGACCUUUCUGCUUGCUUCUUGGAAUAUGUUACUGCGCAGACUCCAACACUUAGUGUGAUUCGCUCGGGCAAGGAGGCUCGGGCUACCACCGGUGUACUACAUCUUUAAUAGACAGCAUCUUUCAUUUAACUACAGGCCAGGUACCAGUGACAACAUCUAUGCAAGAUGGAAACCUUCAUUAAAAACUGCCUGCAUUUCUAUUACCCAAUUUGUUGAUAUGAUAUUCCUAGCUUGUCUUGAAAGUUUGGAUUUUUGUAGCCUAUAUACAUAUAUAUAUCGCAAACUUCUAAAACACCACUGUACCAUGAAGAUAGUUGAACUUUUUUCCAACUUGUGUAA